UCCAGAUCCGAUCCGAACCCACGAUUUUUUUUCAAAGCAAAGUUAACUUAAUCCAUAUGAGCGUGUACCACUCUGCUGAGCUGUCAAUCGUUUUGUUUAUAUUUUGUUUUUCUCCAGUUUCAUGGUGAAGUGCGAACGCAAUCAAGUAAAAAGGUGGAGGAAUGUCCGCGUAGUUUGGGCAGCUCGAUCCAGAACCUGUUAACGUUCGUGGCCGCAUCAACUCCAGCUGAAGCGAAUCUGGGUGCUGCACUGUGAGACAUUUUUCCAGCUGCUCGGCAACGAGCGCAUGUUCCACAGCAGCAGCAACGUAACAACACCAUCAACGAGCGGUUGGCCAUAGAAAACAGUCUGACCGAUCCGGAAUCAUGUCUAAGCGUGGCCCUGCUGAUGACGAGCGAGGCACUGGCGGAAGUGGCUUGUGGAUUCUAGCAAGGCAGCGAACAGCCAGCAUCCCGGUAAAAGUCUUGACGGGGAAAAGGUGGCGACGUUUGGCAGAUGUCGCCAAAAAAGAUUCUAACGUGGGACGAUAAGCACAAGCCUUUGGAGCAGUCACCCGAGAUAACCUACAGAAAAACAGAAAAGGUUGUGAAAGUAUAGAAACUGCUUUGGAGGCGUAGCAGGUAUCAGCGAUUGGUUCUGUCGGAGUGCAAAGAAGAUCAAGUAUCUGCCCACAACUUGUUCGUCCUUCCGGUGGAAUUGAAGCUCGCCGAACUCUCCGACAGCGACGGAUAGAAGCAGACCGCCGACCGGAUAUUGAUCAUCGUGGAAGGAUCUCCGUCGCGGAGGCGACACGGUUGUUAAAACUGUGAAAAUUUCACACUUUCGUAAUUAAUACAGUACAUUACCUCAACCCGCUUGAUCGCACUCACCU